GACGUCGUAUAUCGACGUCAUAAACACCAAAGUUGACCGUGUUUAUGACGUCCUAUAUCGACGUCAUAAACACCAAAGUUGACCGUGUUUAUGACGUCGUAUAUCGAAACACCAAAGUUGAUCGUGUUUCUGACGUCGUAUAUCGACGUCAUAAACACCAAAGUUGACCGUGUUUAUGACGUCGUAUAUCGACGUCAUAAACACCAAAGUUGACCGUGUUCAUGACGUCGAAUAUCGACGUC